GAUGAACGCUGGCGGCGUGCCUAACACAUGCAAGUCGAGCGAUCUCUUCGGAGAGAGCGGCGGACGGGUGAGUAACGCGUGGGUAACCUGCCCUGUACACACGGAUAACAUACCGAAAGGUAUGCUAAUACGGGAUAAUAUAUAAAAGUCGCAUGGCUUUUAUAUCAAAGCUUUUGCGGUACAGGAAGGACCCGCGUCUGAUUAGCUCGUUGGUAAGGUAACGGCUUACCAAGGCGACGAUCAGUAGCCGACCUGAGAGGGUGAUCGGCCACACUGGAACUGAGACACGGUCCAGACUCCUACGGGAGGCAGCAGUGGGGAAUAUUGCACAAUGGGCGAAAGCCUGAUGCAGCAACGCCGCGUGAGCGAUGAAGGCCUUCGGGUCGUAAAGCUCUGUCCUCAAGGAAGAUAAUGACGGUACUUGAGGAGGAAGCCCCGGCUAACUACGUGCCAGCCGCCGCAGUAA
rnacentral:rRNA from 1 species